GGGAAUAUUGGACAAUGGGCGCAAGCCUGAUCCAGCAAUGCCGCGUGGGUGAAGAAGGUUUUCGGAUUGUAAAGCCCUUUCGGCGGGGACGAUGAUGACGGUACCCGCAGAAGAAGCUCCGGCUAACUUCGUGCCAGCAGCCGCGGGAAUACGAAGGGGGCUAGCGUUGCUCGGAAUGACUGGGCGUAAAGGGCGCGUAGGCGGUUUGCACAGUCAGAUGUGAAAUUCCUGGGCUUAACCUGGGGGCUGCAUUUGAUACGUGUAGGCUUGAGUGGGGAAGAGGGUCGUGGAAUUCCCAGUGUAGAGGUGAAAUUCGUAGAUAUUGGGAAGAACACCGGUGGCGAAGGCGGCGACCUGGUCCUUGACUGACGCUGAGGCGCGAAAGCGUGGGGAGCAAAC
rnacentral:rRNA from 1 species